UGGAGAUAGCUCGUACUCCCCGAAAUGCAUUUAGGUGCAGCCUUAGGAGUUUCUUAUACGAGGUAGAGCGACUGAUUGGAUGCGAGGCUUUCACCGGCUAUCAAGUCCAGACAAACUCCGAAUGCACGUUAAGUAAGAUCCACGGAGUGAGGGCAUGGGUGCUAAGGUCCAUGUCCGAGAGGAGAAGAAUCCAGACCAUCGGCUAAGGUCCCGAAAUAAUAGCUAAGUUGACCAAACGAAGUCAGAGUGCGAAGACAGCUAGGAUGUUGGCUUGGAAGCAGCCAUUCAUUUAAAGAGUGCGUAACAGCUCACUAGUCGAGUGCUUUGGCGUGGAUAAUAAUCGGGCAUAAGCUAUUUACCGAAGCUGUGGGAUGUGUAAACAUCGGUAGGGGAGCAUUCUAGCGGCGCUGAAGGUGAGAGGACAACUCUUGCUGGAGCUUCUAGAAAAGCAAAUGUAGGUAUAAGUAACGAUAAAGGAGGUGAGAAACCUCCUCGCCGAAAGACUAAGGUUUCCUGAUCAACGCUAAUCGGAUCAGGGUUAGUCGGGGCCUAAGGGGAAGCCGAACGGCGUACCCGAUGGAAGAACCGGUUAAUAUUCCGGUACUAAUUAUGUGAGCGAUGUGGAGACGGAGAUGUGACGGUCCUGCCAACUGACGGAAUAGUUGGUUGAAGGGUGUAGGAGUUGAUCUGAGUAGGCAAAUCCGCUCGGAGAUCCGAACCUGACAGUACUCUGAGUGCUUGCACAAGGAGAUAUGGACAACUGUAACGGUGCUCCCAAGAAAAUCCGCUAAGCAUAUUGCAUGAUUACCCGUACCAUAAACCGACACAGGUGGUUGGGUUGAGUAUACUAAGGCGCUCGAGUGAUUCGCGGUUAAGGAACUAGGCAAAAUAGUCCUGUAACUUCGGAAUAAAGGACGCUCACAGUGAAGGCUGUGAGCCGCAGAGAAUAGGCCCAGGCGACUGUUUAACAAAAACACAUGGCUAUGCUAAAUCGAAAGAUACUGUAUAUAGCCUGACACCUGCCCGGUGCUGGAAGGUUAAGAGGAGAUGUCAUCGCAAGAGAAGCAUUGAAUUGAAGCCCCAGUAAACGGCGGCCGUAACUAUAACGGUCCUAAGGUAGCGAAAUUCCUUGUCGGGUAAGUUCCGACCUGCACGAAUGGUGUAACGAUCUGGGUACUGUCUCAACCGCGAGCUCGGUGAAAUUGUAGUAUCGGUGAAGAUGCCGAUUACCCGCAACGGGACGAAAAGACCCCGUGAACCUUUACUAUAGCUUUGCAUUGGAUUUGGGUAACAAAUGUGUAGGAUAGGCCGGAGACUAAGAAGCGGGUACGCCAGUAUUCGUGGAGUCGCCGUUGAAAUACGGCCCUUUUGUUAUUUGGGUUCUAACUCGCGGAUGCGAGGACAUUGCAUGGUGGGUAGUUUGACUGGGGUGGUCGCCUCCAAAAGUGUAACGGAGGCUUCUAAAGGUACCCUCAGACCGAUUGGUAACCGGUCGUAGAGUG
rnacentral:rRNA from 1 species